UCUUCCUCUCCCGAUAGACUCUCUCUCUCAAUCGGGAGGAGAUGGAAAUCAAAGGAGAUUCGAAUCUCCAUCGGAGAAGAUUGAAUCGGCGGCUUCUUGUGUUGAUUUCUUGACGAAUCCUGGCCACGGCAUCUUGGUUUUUGAGAAGCUGAUGAAAUUAGAGCCUCAUGAAAUUGAAUGGAAGCAUUUAGAAGCGCUUUGUUACGAGACAAUGGCACAACUGAUCACGUUUGAUCAGAGCUUUGCACUAUCUAUUUUAAAUGGAUUGCUCCUCCAGAAGGAUUCACGUUUGGUCUUGUCUUAUUUCUUGCAAUGGUAAUGCAUAAAGACUCAUGACUCCUCUGUCUUUGGUAUCUCAUGGAAGCUAUGGAGGUUGCUCGACAAGGAAACCGAGUAACUGAGGAGAGAAACAUACAAGUCUUGAAUUGGUCAAAUGCAUAUUGUCAAGGGUCAAUUUGAAGAAGGUCUAAAGGUAUUUCAACAGAUGGUCAAUGAUAACCCCCGAGAUUUUCGACCUUACCUUUGCCAGUGAGUCUAAUGAUGCAUUACGACACCUUCAUGUUUUGUCCCUCCAUGCUUGCUGCUUCAGCUGUUUACACAGCAAGGUGCUCACUGAAAAAGUCCCCAGCUUGGACUGAUACAUUGCAGUUCCACACAGGGUACAUAGAAUCUGAUAUUAUGGACUGCUCAAAGCUUCUUGCUUUUCUUCACUCGAGAUGCGGUGAGAGCAGGCUACGUGCAGUGUACAAGAAGUACUGAAAGGCCGAGAACGGAGGUGUAGCUUUGGUUUCAGCAGCCAAGUCUCUCUUGAGCGCUGCUUCUGAUUUGAAGAAGCCUUGCUUCUGAUUUAAAAAAGCCUGCUUGUGAUUUAAAAAUUUGAUGUAGUUAAUAUUUUAAAUAGUUAAUAUGUGAAGAAGCCUGCUUCUUCUAUUGGGUUUAGACAGCUUCUUCUUAUUGGGUUUAGACAAAGGUACUAGUGUUAGCGACUGUGGUUCCAACAGUGGUUCCAAAAGCCAUUCCUCAUGUGAACCCACUAAAAAAUGUUUUGUUUUCAAAUUUAAGAACCUCAGUUAUAUACUACAA